GAUGAACGCUAGCAGCAGGCCUAACACAUGCAAGUCGAGGGGCAGCAUAAAAUAAACUUGUUUAUUUGGUGGCGACCGGCGCACGGGUGCGUAACGCGUAUGCAACCUACCUUAUACUGGGGAAUAGCCCGAAGAAAUUCGGAUUAAUGCCCCAUAGUACUGAGACCCCUCCUGAGGAUUCAGUUAAAGCUUUGGCGGUAUAAGAUGGGCAUGCGUCCAAUUAGCUAGAUGGUAAGGUAACGGCUCACCAUGGCGACGAUUGGUAGGGGGCCUGAGAGGGUGGUCCCCCACACUGGUACUGAGACACGGACCAGACUCCUACGGGAGGCAGCAGUGAGGAAUAUUGGUCAAUGGGCGCAAGCCUGAACCAGCCAUGCCGCGUGAAGGAUGAAGGUUCUAUGGAUUGUAAACUUCUUUUAUUUGGGAAUAAACCUCUUUACGUGUAGAGAGCUGAAGGUACCAAAUGAAUAAGCACCGGCUAACUCCGUGCCAGCCGCCGCAGUAACAC
rnacentral:rRNA from 1 species